ACGGAAGGCAGCAGUCGGGAAUAUUGCGCAAUGGAGGGAACUCUGACGCAGUGACGCCGCGUAUAGGAAGAAGGUUUUCGGAUUGUAAACUAUUGUCGUUAGGGAAGAAAAAAAUGACAGUACCUAAGGAGGAAGCACCGGCUAACUAUGUGCCAGCAGCCGCGGUAAUACGUAGGGUGCAAGCGUUAUCCGGAUUUAUUGGGUGUAAAGGGUGCGUAGACGGGAAAUUAAGUUAGUUGUGAAAUCCCUCGGCUUAACUGAGGAACUGCAACUAAAACUGAUAAUCUUGAGUGUCGGAGGGGAAAGUGGAAUUCCUAGUGUAGCGGUGAAAUGCGUAGAUAUUAGGAGGAACACCAGUGGCGAAGGCGACUUUCUGGACGAUAACUGACGUUGAUGCACGAAAGUGUGGGGAGCAAACAGGAUUAGAUACCCUGGUA
rnacentral:rRNA from 1 species